rnacentral:piRNA from 1 species
UCCAACUCCAGUAGCCUUAAAUCUAGU